UUUUUUUUUUUUUUUCAAAUAUAUUUAACCUACCGUAUAAUCAUUGUGUCAGGCUGUCUUAGUUAGAGUUUUAUUGCUGUGAACAGACACCAUGACCAAGGCAACUCUUAUAAGGACAGCAUUUAAUUGGGGCUGGCUUACAGGUUCAGAGGUUCAGUCCAUUUUAUUUUUUUUUUCUUUUUUUUUUUUCUUUUUUUCGGAGCUGGGGACCGAACCCAGGGCCUUGCGCUUGCUAGGCAAGCGCUCUACCACUGAGCUAAAUCCCCAACCCGGUUCAGUCCAUUUUCAUCAAGGCAGGAACAUGGCAGCAUCCAGGCAGGCAUGGUACAGGAGGAGCUGAGUUCUACAUCUUCAUCUGAAGGCUGCUAGCAGAUACUGGCUUCCAGGCAGCUAGGAUGAGGGUCUCAAAGCCCAUGCCCACAGUGACACACCUACUCCAACAGGGCCACAUCCCGUAGUAUCGCCCCUCCGUGGGUCAGGCAUAUACGGACCAUCACAAAGGCCCUUGCACAUCCAUGAGUUUCAAGUUUCUUUGUCUUCCAACUGGACCUGUGAAAGCAAGCCUGCUGGGAUACAGAGCGUGGAGCACUUGCCCUUCCUGCCGUUGUAUCUCUUCGCCUGGGACUAUUUAUUUAGUGUCUAUCAAGUUGUUAGUGUUUUUAUUGGUUUUAAGAUAAACAAGCUGUUUGAUUAGCUCAGCUUAAGAAAAUAUUCUUGUGAUUUCAAUAGUAAGUAUUUGUCAGGAGGCAAUCUGAAGGAUGUCAUUCUCAUCUAUUGUCAUCCGUGUGAAGUCUAGGACUCUGUCUGCAUGGUCUCACCAAAGCUGUCUGCAUCUCUGAACUUCACAUGGGGUCAUCUGAUUCAUAUAUGUGUAUAGCACUUUGUUCUGGUGUACUGGAAUGUUAAUUCUGAAUGACUUUUUAAAUAACUGAAUGGUCCCUGGCAAUGGGGAAUCUGUACUCAGAACCAGCCAGUGGGAGUAUUACAUGCUCCAGUGCUGUGCGCACUGCCUCUUGAGCUGUUAAGCAGACACUCCUACGUCGGGAGAGGGGCGCUAAGUGCGAAUUCUGUGUGCUUCGUGCAAGUUUGCUGGUUCUACUGACUCUGCACUCUAGUUUUCAUGAAGCAUAGGGGUUUAAUGGGAAAAUGUUUUGAUUCCCAAUCCAUGUGAACUUUAUAAAAAUUGGGCAAACUGUUCAAAUU
rnacentral:lncRNA from 1 species